rnacentral:lncRNA from 1 species
UCCGAUCCAUGAUCAGCCCUAGGUGAGAUACAAGAAUUUGCAGGGGGCAAGAUGAUAGAAUACAGGCUUUGGAAGGGAACCAUUACAUAAUGUGCUCUAACUAAGGAAACAAACAUAACUAAGGGCUAGCUAUUUACCUCCCGUUGACACAUCUUCUCAAGUUCUUGACUGGAGGUUUCCUUUGCUUCAUGCUGGUCUCCAACAUA